rnacentral:lncRNA from 1 species
UCUAAUACCACUGUUAGAUUUUAGGGUGGUUUCAUGCAUGUAUUUUAAAAUUUUUUAAAUUUAUAGCAAAAAUAAAAAUUCAGAUUAAACACUUUAAUCUAAUCAUGCAUCAGAUUUAAUUUGCUAAACCACUUGUCAUGGAUCUAUGAAUAUGAAACAUUCGAUCUAGAAAAUCUGAUUAUGAAAAAUAUAAAGGAAAUAAAUGAG